GCCCUCGGGCCUAAUGGAUAAGGCACGUCUCCAAAACCCGGGGAUUGGGGUUCGAACCCCCCGGAGGGUA